rnacentral:rRNA from 1 species
ACGGCUCAUUAAAACAGCUAUAAUCUCAUCGGAAUUGUUUCCUAAACGGAUAUCUGCGAUAAUUUUGGAGCUAAUACGUGCACUCAUCAGGUGCGUUCGCACCUGGCAUUUAUUAGACUAAGGCCAAUCGGGGCAACCCGUUCUGGUGAACUCUGAAUAACUUCGCGGAUCGCAUGGUCUUGCACCGGCGACAGUCCGAUCGAGUAUCUGCCUUAUCAACUUUCGAUGGGAGUUUAUUUGACUCCCAUGGUUGUGACGGGUAACGGAGGAUAAGGGUUCGACUCCGGAGAGGGAGCCUGAGAAACGGCUACCACAUCCAAGGAAGGCAGCAGGCGCGUAAAUUACCCACUCUCAAUUCGAGGAGGUAGUGACUAUCAAUAACGAGGCAGAUCUCUAUGAGGCCUGCUA